UGAGGAAUAUUGGUCAAUGGGCGGGAGCCUGGACCAGCCAAGCCGCGUGAGGGAGGAAGGCCCUAUGGGUCGUAAACCUCUUUUGUCAGGGAACAAAAGCGAGUAUGUAUACUAGUCUGAGUGUACCUGAAGAAAAAGCAUCGGCUAACUCCGUGCCAGCAGCCGCGGUAAUACGGAGGAUGCGAGCGUUAUCCGGAUUUAUUGGGUUUAAAGGGUGCGUAGGCGGCGGUGCAAGUCAGCGGUAAAAGCCCGGGGCUCAACCCCGGCGAGCCGUUGAAACUGCAGUGCUAGAGAAGGCGAGAGGUACGCGGAAUGCGCAGUGUAGCGGUGAAAUGCUUAGAUAUUGCGCAGAACUCCGAUUGCGAAGGCAGCGUACUGGCGCCUGACUGACGCUGAGGCACGAAAGCGUGGGGAUCGAACAGGGAUUAGAUACC
rnacentral:rRNA from 1 species